rnacentral:rRNA from 1 species
GACGAACGCUGGCGGCGUGCUUAACACAUGCAAGUCGAACGGAAAGGCUCCAGCUUGCUGGAGUACUCGAGUGGCGAACGGGUGAGUAACACGUGGGUGAUCUGCCCUGCACUUCGGGAUAAGCCUGGGAAACUGGGUCUAAUACCGGAUAGGACCGCACUUUGGUGUGUGUGGUGGAAAGGUUUUUCUGGUGUGGGAUGAGCUCGCGGACUAUCAGUUUGUUGGUGGGGUGAUGGCCUACCAAGACGGCGACGGGUAGCCGGCCUGAGAGGGUGGACGGUCACAUUGGGACUUAGAGACGGCCCAGACGCCUACGGGAGGCAGCAGGGGGGAAGAUUGCACCAUGGGGGACACCCGGAUGCAGCGACGCCGCGGGGGGGAUGAAGGCCUUCGGGUUGUAAACGCCUUUCGCUAGGGACGAAGCUUUUUGUGACGGUACCUGGAGAAGAAGCACCGGCUAACUACGUG